rnacentral:rRNA from 1 species
UGCAAGUCGAGCGAUGAAACUACUUCGGUAGUGAAUUAGCGGCGAACGGGUGAGGAACACGUGAGGAAUCUGCCUUCUACACUGGGAUAACUCCGGGAAACCGGGGCUAAUACCGGAUAUGAAACUUGGUGGCAUCACCGAGUUUGGAAAGUUUUUCGGUAGAAGAUGACCUCGCGGCCUAUCAGCUUGUUGGUGAGGUAAUGGCUCACCAAGGCGACGACGGGUAGCCGGCCUGAGAGGGCGACCGGCCACACUGGGACUGAGACACGGCCCAGACUCCUACGGGAGGCAGCAGUGGGGAAUAUUGGGCAAUGGAGGAAACUCUGACCCAGCGACGCCGCGUGCGGGAUGAAGGCCUUCGGGUUGUAAACCGCUUUCAGUAGGGAAGAAGCGAAAGUGACGGUACCUACAGGGGGAGGGGCCGGCUAACUAUGUGCCAGCAGCCGCGGUAAUACAUAGGGUGCAAGCGUUGUCCGGAAUUAUUGGGCGUAAAGAGCUCGUAGGUGGUUCGUUACGUCGGAUGUGAAAAUCUGGGGCUCAACCCCAGACCUGCAUCCGAUACGGUCGAGCUAGAGUUUGGUAGGGGAGACUGGAAUUCCUGGUGUAGCGGUGGAAUGCGCAGAUAUCAGGAGGAACACCAAUGGCGAAGGCAGGUCUCUGGGCCAAUACUGACACUGAGGAGCGAAAGCGUGGGGAGCGA